GGCUUCUGACCCUGUCAACAGUUUGGUCAGAAAAGCUCUGCCGUGUGCUUCACUGUGUUCCCCAUCUCAAUGCCAGGGAGGAGUUGGGAACCCCAAUCCUGAUUCCUGUUUUGUUGUUUUUUGAGAUAGGGUUUUUCUGUGUAGCCAUGGCUGUCCUGGAACUUGCUCUGUAGACCAGGCUGUCCUUGAACUCCCAGAGAUCUGCCCGCCUCUGCCUCCUGAGUGCUGGGAUUAAAGGCAUGUGCCACCACUGCCUGUCUUUUUUUUUUUUUUUAAAUAAUGGUGACUAAAGUAAUUUCAGUGGCUGCUGAGAAGGCUGUCCAUUGUAAACCACACUCCGUCUUGGUUUAGGAAAUGGAGUCUCUAGUAGGACUCCUCUACUCUUUUCAGAGGAGCUGGUUUGUGCUCUCAGAGUCCCUGCUAAGGGUGUAGUUUGAUCGUUGAGGUCUUUUGUCCACUGCUUUGUGCCUAAGAAUAAACACUGUCAUCAGCAGCUUGAAGACCUGAUGCAGGAGAAGCAGCUGCCGUCUCCUUCUCCUGAGGAGGGACCAUGGAAGGAAAAGCAGGUGGCAGGAGUACAGUCAAGGCAUCUGUUUCAUCUGUCCCCAGCUGCCAGACUUGUUCAGCUGCCAGGGGAAAGGGUGACUGGUGUAGAAAGAGGGUCAGAGAGAAAGGGCGGAAGUGGCAGGGCAAGGUGGAGGCUUGGCAGAACAGAGAUGGAAACCCACCUACAGAGAGUCAGGCUGAGGCAUCUGCUCUCCUCUGUCCUUCUAAGGUGAACAGGGCCAAGGAGGAGCUGGUGUUCCUGGGCAACAGAGAGCUGGCUCUGGGGCACCUGAGGAUGUUCGUGCUGACUCUUGUCUGUAGUCUGGGCUUUCAUUGUGCUUGAUUUUCAGGAUUUGACACUUUGUUGUUGUUGCUGUUUUUGGUUUUUCUUGACAGGGUCUCUCUGUGUAGUCCUGGCUGUCCUGGUACUCACCCUGUAGACCACGCUGGCUUGAACUUUGAGAUCUUUGACAUUUCGUUUUUAAUGUUUGGAAUAUUUAAUGGGUAUGGAAACAUUUCUUCCCCAGGGUGGAGGCAGUGACAAGGAGACAAACUGGUGGCUGAAGGUGAGGUGUUGGAAGAUCCCUGGGGGCCACCGCCACUUCAGCCCAAGAACUAGACAACCACCUUUCCUGAUCCCUUCUUCCCUCCGUCCCCCUGACCUCUGAUCCCUGACCACUGCUGGGAAUACCUUCACCUAUUAGUGCAUUAGGAGGACAGCUGUCAUUUAUGGGGACCAGGAGGCUAUGGGUGCUCUCUCCGUUGAGCAGCAUCUGAGCCUCUACUGGGCUUUGGGACAGGAACAUCCUGCUUUCCCCGCCUCCUCUCCUCUACCGUUCCCAUGAGAGAAGGACACCGGUUCCUGCAAAGUGAGAGGGGAAUGAAAUAUCCCAGAGAAAGAUGAGGUGAUCAGGUUAGAGAAAUGAGGGUGGAAACCGCCUGGGUAUGCAGUAACAUUUUAGAGUAGGUGUUCAUACUUUGUUUAAGUCCUGGGGAGAUGAGUUAGUGGGCAGAGAGGACUGGAGUCUGGAUUGCCAGAAUGCCGGCAAGCUCUGAGCAGCAGUGUGAAUCUGAGAGUUCCGAGAAGCUAAGAAUUCCAUCCACCUAAGCUGGUGUACGUAGUGGUGAAACCCAAGAAGGAUCCUGUCUCAAACGAGAUGGAAGGUGACAACACAUUCACACACACACACACACACACACACACAUGCACAAGCACACGAACAUGCACGCACACACACCAUAUAUACGUAUAAAGAACUUUUAAAAAGAAGUCUGUGCUCAUAUGAUGGCAAAAUGUUCAGGACCAACAUGUUCCAUAUGAAGAGUCGUUAGUCUGCAGCAUACCACAAAGUGUGGCUCAGGCCCUUUAGGAAUGCUUGUUCUCUCGGUAAAGCAGAGACAGGUAAGAACAUGAAAUUCAUGUAAGUGACUGCAACACUAGAGACGUUUAUCUCUAGAAUAUACAGUCUGAGCUAAGUUUGGGGCACAGAAGGAGAAAUGGUAGUGCUGAGGAAAGCUGGUCUGCUCUGCUUGACGGUUUUGGCAGGCUUCUGAGAGGAGGUGAGGGAGAGGAUGCUGGUGGAUGAUGGAGAAAUGGCCCUGGUGAAGGAACUGAAGGAAGAGUGAGCCAGCAGAGGGAAUGUGGAGUGACAUGUGUUCUUCUGGUUAACAGAGCAGCACAGCAGCCAUGGUCAGCAGAUAGAGUUGAGAUUUAAAAGAGUUGCUCUCCACCUCAACCACUGCUAAGAAAUGGGGAGCUUGGAAGCCACAGAGACAAGUGCCGAAUCAUGACUGUGAACCUAUCAUUGACUGUGACACAGGAGUCAGGAAGCUGUGACUGCAGCUUUUGGAUACAGAGCCAAGUGUUCAAGUUCGGUCUCACCGAGGGGUUGUUUGUAAGAAGAACCCAAGUCACUCUCUAAAAUGCAAUGUGAUGGAGUCUGGUCGUUCAUCUUCUGCAUCAAGGAUGCCCGUGUUCACUGCCCCAUUUAAAUUCCAGUGAAGAAACAAAACAGCUACAUGCUCCUGAUGCAACCAUUGCUCACACAACCCCCUCCACCAAUCCAUCCCUGUUUGUGGCCAUUCAUCUAACUAAGAGAUGUCAGAGGCUGUGAUGAUAGGACUCAGUACACAGACCACAUCUGGAGCCUCAGCUAUAGCUAGACUCACAGUCUGAUUACUUACUGACUGCCAUCACUCUUCAAGUAGAGGAUAGACAUGUACAGAGGUACAGUAAAUGAGACUGUGUGUGACCAGGGUCAUCAGUGGCCUUCAGGUAAGCUAGCUCUCAGAAAUGGAGACAAGAGGGCCAGAGAGAUCCUGAUUUUUGUGUUUCCUGUAUCCUUGGUUUAACCACCAGUGCCAUGCCAGAUUGCAAGCAUCCGAAGUGCUGCCACUGAAGACUUAGGAAGUCAUGGGGAAAACCUCCUGAUUGCCUCCCAAACAUGAGGAAAUGAAUUUGGAAGCUCAAUAUCCAUGUAAAUGCCAGGAUCUUAAGUUCUUACUCAACCCAUGACGAGGGAGUCUCAUUUACCAAGAGCUGGUGAAAAGCCCUGAAAAGGCUGGCGUUUCUCUUCGGUCAGUGCGCUCACUCCCCUGAACGACCACUGUUGCCUUGGAGGGAGUUUGGGAAGGAGGGUUACAGCAUCAGCUUGUUAUGUCAUGUGCUGUAUACAGGACACCGUUCUCCUUCUAACCUGAUGUGGUCUAGGAAUUUGGUGAAGAUGCAUGCCCCUGUGAUGUUCUUAAACACGCUGUCAUUUCGCUAGAUCUCAACGUCUCCUCCCCUUUCUGCUGUUUGUGUAGGAUCCUGAUGCAGUGCCUCACACAUGUUAGUUCUUACUAUCCACAGUCAGCCGGCAACUACAGGUCCCUUUAUCUGCAGGUCCCUCUGGUUCUGUUGCUGUCUGUUUACCUCUACCAUACUUGUAUUUCUUACAUAGCCAACGCUUUAUUUGUAGUUUUACAACAUAACCAAUGCUGGGAUCUGAUUACCCAGGAACAGGGCUGGGGAGAUAGCUCGGACAAUAAAGGGCAUGCCACACCAGUAAGGAACUUGGCAUCACCCCCAGAACUCAUAUAAAAAGACAGGUAUAGGGCUGGAGAGACCAUUCAGCACUUACGAGCCUCUAUUGCACUGGUAGAGGACCUGGAUUUAGUUCCCGGCUCACACAUAAUGGCUCACACCAUCUGCAGCUCCAGUUCCAGGGGAUCGGACCUCCACAGGCACCAGUCAUGUGCGUCCAUCCAUACAGCCACAACACUCAUUCACGUUCAGUAAGAGCCUUGAACACCUGCAGCUGAGGCACAGGGAUUCGGAGACAGGAAGAUCUGUAGGGCUCACUAGCCAGACAGCCUCGCCCAGGACUAUUGAGAGACCACUGUCUCAAAAUGACAUGGGGAGUGGCUGAGGAAGAUACCUGACAUCCACCCGUGACCUCCCCACGCGUGUGCCCACACAUACUCACAUACCUUUCACAUGUGCACCCCCCCACAUAUGCAUGCCCCUGAACAUGCCUAUUCAUGUAUGUGCACACACAUGUAACCACACACACAAAACGUACAUUCUGUUCUUUUCCAUUUCCUUCCCCUUCCCUUCUUAUCUCUCCUUCUUCCCACUUUCCUUCCUUCACUUUCUCUUCUCCACUUCCACCUCACUGACAUACGAACUUUAUAACUGGCUCCCUGAAACACGAAGAUUGUCUUAUGGCGGAUCUGGAGGCUAAGUCAAAUGUUGAGGGUGGAGGACAGCCACAGUCUCUCAGCAAGCAGGACUAGCUUUCUUAGGUAGGAUAGGAGAGGUGGUCUCUGCCUGUGGGAGAUACUUGAUGGAGUUGUGGGGAUUUCGGGUGAUUAGAUUUACCUGAAACCCCCUGGAUACCAUCACUCUGAUUUGGGGGGGGGGACUGUGAUCUUAAUGACCCAUUACUCUGACUUUCACAUAAGGAAUCCGGUGAGGCUGUGAGGUCAGCCAACACUGCAAGUCAAGAACCUGGGGAAUGAAAGUCUGCAUGUAAACUUGGACCCCAUUCACUCACUAGCUCUGAGGGUGAUGCCACUGGUUUAAAGCAACCUGGGAUACUUUGGGGACUGUCCUGAUUCUGCAGAAGUAUCUUGAGCCCUGCACUGAGUGCUCUGUUAUUUCUCUACUGUUAUCUCUGGAGUUCACACUGCAGUCAUGGCCACAGUUCCUGUUUGUGGACCAGGUGGGCACUACCGGGGGGAGGUUAGGUUGGAGGGGAGCCUGUAGGCUGGCAGACAGGGCCAGUGCCUGAUGGGUGGUUUGGUGGAGAUGUCAAUGGAAGGCCCAGUUUUAUGAGGAGGCUAUGCUAGCAGCAGGGGCUGGGAAUAGCACAGGAAGAGAAAAGAUGCUGCUAUUCACUUAGCCUCCUGCACAUAAAUAGGGGUAAAUAGGUGACCUGUAUCAGUAAGUCCUGCACAUAACCAGCCUCCACAAGGGAUGAAACAAGGAAGCUCUGCCAAACUCAAAAUCAGGGCUUAGCAAAUGCUAGUUCUGAUGAUCACUAAAUUAAGUUAUGGAUGGAAGGAACUGAUGAGAGGCUGAUAGGGUGGUUUGCAGAGGUGGGCAGAACUGACAACUGUGAAAAAGAUACAGGAGGGAAGAGCAGUGGAGGAGGUUGGUGAAGGGCCCGGCUGCACUUCUCUUUCUUGUUCCCCUCUAACCUCAUCUGUUGGUAACAGCUCAAGGUAAAAUUCACAUGCUAUACAGUUCAGCCAUGGAAAUCAUACAACUCAAAACGGUUUUGAUUAUAUUCCCACAUGGUGCACUCAUCACUACAAGCAACUAUAGGACGUUUUCAUCAUCUCAAAACCAAACCAAAGACUGAGGGUACGGCUCAGCGGAAGAGCACUUGCCUAACGUGUGGUUCCAUCGACAGCUCUGCAAGCAAGCAAACAACUCCUCUGUUUUCUUCAGCUGUCACCCCCGAUUCUCAUCACCCCAAAUCAAAGAACCAACUAAUCUGUUUCCCAUCUCUGCGUUCCUAGGUUGGCUAUUUCACAGAAAUGAAGUAAAACUGCACACCAGCCA